AUAGAUCUGGCUUUGUGAAAUAAU
rnacentral:miRNA from 1 species